AUUGAACGCUGGCGGCAGGCCUAACACAUGCAAGUCGAGCGGAGCGGCGGACGGGUGAGUAAUGCCUAGGAAUCUGCCUGGUAGUGGGGGAUAACGUCCGGAAACGGGCGCUAAUACCGCAUACUAUCAGAUGAGCCUAGGUCGGAGUGGCUAGUUGGUGGGGUAAAGGCCUACCAAGGCGACGAUCGGUAACUGGUCUGAGAGGCUGAUCAGUCACAAUGGAACUGAGACAGGGUCCAUGAGCCUACGGGAGGCAGCAGUGGGGAACAGUGGACAAUGGGGGAAAGCCUGAUCCAGCCAUGCCGCGUGUGUGAAGAAGGUCUUCGGAGUGUAAAGCACUUUAAGUUGGGAGGCGUUACUAACAGAAUAAGCACCGGCUAACUUCGUGCCAGCAGCCGCGGUAAUUC
rnacentral:rRNA from 1 species